GGAAAACCAUUAAAAACUCAUUAAAUCAGUAAGCCCCAAGCCAUGCUUUGUCUGAGAAUUAUGAAACUCGGUAAGUGCAUGUAACUUCAUAGGCCCUACAAAAAAGCCUCUUGAAGCAAUGGGCUACCUCCUACAGUAAAUCAUUCAUUUCUCAUCAAAGAUGUCAUUUUCCCAUAUUUUUGGGUGUUACAUUUGAAUAAACUACUCCUAAAACGUUACACUUAUGGCAUUCAAAGUUACUCCAAAAAAUUCCUCACACAUAGAGGAUCAAAAGUUAUCAAAAACAUUUUUGCUACGUCCAACCAUAUUUUUUUGACAAUUAUUUAUAACAUGAAUUGUGUUUUGAAGGAAAAAACAUUUAUUAUUUCCAACACUAGAUGGCAACAUUUUUCCAAACCAUUCCUACACAGUCAAACAUAAUUGUAACCAUUCAUACACAUUCGUCCAAAAGUGGAAGCAGCUUUAAAAUAUCUUUAGCUGGCCUUUAAAAUAAAUAAGGAUUUAAGGAUUUAAUCUUAAAUCCUAUAUGUAGGAGCGCAAAUGCAUUGAUUGGGUAAUUAGCGUUCAUGUCUAUUUAAGGGGGGAACUUUUCUUUGAUAGGUAGGUUUUCCACCCGGAAGGGGAAAACAGUUUUUGACCGCAAAAAGAUAAAUACAAGCAAGCAAGUCUGCUUUAUAUGUUGUCUGGAGAUGUGUUCAUGUAUGAUGGACAUUUGACAUGCAAAGAGGAAAAUAAAUGGACGAAGCGUUCAACAUGCCCUGACGACUUGGACUCUAAUUCAUCCCAAAAAGAUAAGACUGGGCUGGAGGUUACGUGUUUGGAGUGGAGCAUCAGCUGAUCGAACUCAGCUCACCUGAGGUGACGUCGGACAGGAUAGACAUCGGUGAGGACGCCGUUGAUCAGCUCGGCGCUGGAUUUGAACAAUCAUUCGUCUGGAUUAGGUAUGUGUAGCGCUACCACCGAUAUGAUGGCCAUCUAAAUAUAGUGUGCACACAUAAGGGCGUAAUUCCAAUGCAUUGGUUGCU